rfam:Solanum lycopersicum cultivar Heinz 1706 chromosome 6, whole genome shotgun sequence.
GUCCCUUUGAAGACAUCUGAUAAAAUUGGAACGAUACAUAAGUUUAGCAUAGCCCCUGCACAAAGAUGAUAUGCACAAAUCAGGAAAUGGUUCAAAUAAAG